CCUGGACACAAACACAACUCAUCCAUCACUUCAAUUGCCUUUUAAACUUUAGCUAUUUAUUGAGAGAGAAGAUCAUUGUGACUGCGUCAAACUAAAGCAUUAUGGACGUCAUAGACCAUCAAUAUGAACCCCACAACAUAACCACACUGCCCUCACUACAGUACAGAUGUGUACAGCAGAUGACAGAUGAAUAAUUAAAGACCUUGGAGACUGAAACUGUGCUUAAACUACAACACAAAAAAGAUAUACAAUACACUUAAAAAAUGCAUUGCGGUACAAUUAAAAUAGAGAACUUUUGAACAAUUUCUCCACUGGAACAAAGUCUGAAUUCUGUCACUUUACUGAACCACAGAUCCCAUAGACAGUAGGCCUAAAUCUACUGGUGAAGCUCAACACAUCGAUUUGGUAUCCUCUAAUGACCACCAAUGUCUCUCUCUCGCUCUAUGGCUCCAGCUGUGGUUUAAGCCAUAGGAAUCGAGUCUAGACCCACAUCUAUUAAACUGUAGAUCCCCAGUCGCUAGCCUGGCUCCGCCCGCCUAAUUACUCCCGGUGAAUUUGAAUUUCCCUUCAG